AGAGUUUGAUCAUGGCUCAGGAUGAACGCUGGCGGCGUGCCUAACACAUGCAAGUCGAGCGAUUCUCUUCGGAGAAGAGCGGCGGACGGGUGAGUAACGCGUGGGUAACCUGCCUCAUACACAUGGAUAACAUACCGAAAGGUAUGCUAAUACAAGAUAAUAUAAGAGAUUCGCAUGGGUUUCUUAUCAAAGCUCCGGCGGUAUGAGAUGGACCCGCGUCUGAUUAGCUAGUUGGUAAGGUAACGGCUUACCAAGGCGACGAUCAGUAGCCGACCUGAGAGGGUGAUCGGCCACAUUGGAACUGAGACACGGUCCAAACUCCUACGGGAGGCAGCAGUGGGGAAUAUUGCACAAUGGGCGAAAGCCUGAUGCAGCAACGCCGCGUGAGCGAUGAAGGCCUUCGGGUCGUAAAGCUCUGUCCUCAAGGAAGAUAAUGACGGUACUUGAGGAGGAAGCCCCGGCUAACUACGUGCCAGCAGCCGCGGUAAUACGUAGGGGGCUAGCGUUAUCCGGAUUUACUGGGCGUAAAGGGUGCGUAGGUGGUUUCUUAAGUCAGGAGUGAAAGGCUACGGCUCAACCGUAGUAAGCUCUUGAAACUGGGAAACUUGAGUGCAGGAGAGGAAAGUGGAAUUCCUAGUGUAGCGGUGAAAUGCAUAGAUAUUAGGAGGAACACCAGUAGCGAAGGCGGCUUUCUGGACUGUAACUGACACUGAGGCACGAAAGCGUGGGGAGCAAACAGGAUUAGAUACCCUGUAGUCCACGCCGUAAACGAUGAGUACUAGGUGUCGGGGGUUACCCCCCUCGGUGCCGCAGCUAACGCAUUAAGUACUCCGCCUGGGGAGUACGCUCGCAGAGUGAAACUCAAAGGAAUUGACGG
rnacentral:rRNA from 1 species